UAGAAAUGGAAAUACUCGGCGUCCUAUAAAUAGGAUACUGAGAUAAUGUGAUAUAGCUUAUUUAAUGUUCUCAUUCACUGUCCUAUUAAUGGGUUAAGCCUGUUCAAAACAAGGGAAGUAACUUCUUUUUGGAUUUCAGAGUUGUCUCCAAUCUCUUGACCAGAAUUGUUUCUGUCUAUUGGAGAAACAUAGAACCUGCAAUUCAGCACUUCGCAGUUUGAUUACAUUUUUAAUUCCCCAUAGGUAAGGUGAUGGUUUUGGAAAUAGUGUGAGAUCGACACAUAUAAGGAGGUAACCCAAAGUAACCGGAAACGUUCUCUAUGGAAUUAGUCAGUUGUAGUUCGAGCUUCCGCCGCUAGAAGCCACUUGAUGCCACCCUCGGACAAAAGUCUGCUAACCGGCGUCAUCUAGAUAGCUCGUACUGCCUCGUAGUACGUCUUUGUUUUGCAAUGCUUCUCUUUUCGUCGAUUUUUGUAAUGGCUGAAAUGAAGAAACAGCGUGUUUCCAUGAAAUUCUGUGCUUUGCUGGUGUGUCCUGGAACUCCUGCCAACGAAUCCCAUCUAUUCAUGAAAUUAACCUGUUUUGCUCGAGUUGGCCAAAAUCAUUUUAUUCUCCACACUAAUAAAAACAUUUCUAAUGUUGAGGAAUGGUUUUAUAGUCAAUAAUAUAGAGCUCAGUAUUUGACUGGAAGGAUGGAAGGCAAAGUUGUCGUCAAUGGCAUUCGAAAUUAGAACGUACAUGGUCGCAACCAAAUGUCACAAAACAUUUUAUUCGGUUACUGCACACAACUAUAAGGGCAUGAAGACAUAUUUUUGAGGGGCUUGCGCAGUUGAUUGUUCUGAUAGUUUUAAAGAUAAGAUAUUGAGAGAUUUGAUCAGAUAGAAGUAUUGUUUUAAAAUUUCCAGUCUACGAAAA